AGCGGCGAACUGGUGAGUAACAGGUGGGUAACGUUCCUCGAAGCGGGGGAUAACCCGGGGAAACUCGGGCUAAUACCGCAUACGGCCGCACUGACCCCGGUCAGUGUCGCCAAAGACUUCGGUCACUUCGAGAUCGGCCCGCCCCCGAUUAGCUAGUUGGUAGGGUAACGGCCUACCAAGGCGACGAUCGGUAGCUGGUCUGAGAGGAUGGUCAGCCACACUGGGACUGAGAUACGGCCCAGACUCCUACGGGGGGCAGCAGUCUAGAGGCUUCGGCAAUGGGGGCAACCCUGACCGAGCGACGCCGCGUGUGGGAUUGAAGGCCUUCGGGUCGUAAACCACUGUCAGGAGGGAAGAAUGCCCCGAUGGUGAAUCGGGGAGGGACGGUACCUCCGGAGGAAGCCCCGGCAAACUCCGUGCCAGCAGCCGCGGUAAUACGGAGGGGGCAAGCGUUGUUCGGAUUUACUGGGCGUAAAGGGUCCGUAGGCGGUUGCGUAAGUCUGGUGUGAAAUCUCCGCCGCUUAACGGGGAGAAGCCACUGGAAACUGCGUAACUCGAGUAUGGCAGAGGCAAGCGGAAUUCCUGGUGUAGCGGUGGAAUGUGUAGAUAUCAGGAAGAACACCUGUGGCGAAGGCGGCUUGCUGGGCCAUCACUGACGCUGAGNNGCGAAAGCGUGGGGAGCAAACAGGAUUAGAUACCCUGGUAGUCC
rnacentral:rRNA from 1 species